rfam:Vigna angularis cultivar Jingnong 6 scaffold242_121, whole genome shotgun sequence.
AUACCUUUCUCGGCCUUUUGGCUAAGAUCAAGUGUAGUAUCUGUUCUUAUCAGUUUAAUAUCUGAUAUGUGGGCCAAUGGUCCACAUGAUAUUAAAUUAAUUUUUUGAAGGGGAGUUCCCGCUUCAGUAGCUUGCUACUGGGGUUCUCAUGUGUCGCUCUAGCGUUGCACUAUAGCUUGAGCCUGGCACACCCUCU